GAGAUAUGAGAUUUUCAUGGUAAAACUGGAAAAGCUUUCAAGGAGGUUGCAAUAUGAUGCAGAUGGUGGGCUGGGUGGAAAGAAGAAAUUUCCAAGACAGUUUCACAGAGUGGUGAGUGCUGUGGAGAGAGAACAAGGAUAGCCUCUUUAGGGGGGAACCUUUGAGCUGAGACUUGAAUGAUGAGAGACCAAUCUUAUAAGCCCUCAGAGAAGAGCUUUCCAGACACAAAGUACAAAGAGCCUGGUGCAGGAACAAGUGUGGCACAUUUGUGUGCCUGAAGUGAAAAGCAGGGUGAGGCUGGUUGGAGUGGGCAAGAUGCUGAUCAGUUUUCACUAAGAGGUAUGAGAAGCUCUUCAGGGAUGGAAGCAGGGGAGUUCCAUGUUCUGAAUGUAAUUUUCGAAAGAUCAGGCCAUCUUCUGGGUGAGAUGGAACUGGAGGGGAGGGAAUGAGCAGAAGGACCAGGUAGGAGGCUGUUGCAAGUGGGCAGGUGAUGAUGUGACUGGAUGAAGUUGGCAGUGGGUAUAGAGAAAAAGGACAGGGAAGAUCAUCUGGAUUUACCAGGGCAUUGGAUGCGGCAUGUGAAGGAAUGGGAGGACUCAGGGAUGGAGCCUGGUUUGAACCUGUGGUCAUGGUGAAUAAGGACAUGCCUCAGGGGAUAUCAGCAGUCCUUCUGUGUGGUAUGAAGGAAGAGAGAGGGGGAAGUUCUGACAAGUCAAAUAAACUCAAUCAACAAGAAGAUAGCUCAGGGCAGGUGUCCUUGACGUAACACUAUGGGAGAAGAUAGAUGUUUGGAAUGUGGCUUUUUUUGUGGGGAGUGAGGAAGGAAUUUCUUAGGAGGCAGAAUGUCUGCAAAUGGGAGUUAGAAAUCUGUUUUAAUGGGAUGAGGACAUAGCUCAGUGGUAGAAGUGUCUGCCUAGCAUGCACAAAGCCCUAGGUUCCAUCUCCAGC
rnacentral:lncRNA from 1 species